rnacentral:rRNA from 1 species
CGACUCUCGGCAACGGAUAUCUUGGCUCUCGCAUCGAUGAAAAACGUAGCGAAAUGCGAUACUUGGUGUGAAUUGCAAAAUCCCGUGAACCAUCGAGUCUUUGAACGCAAGUUGCGCCCGAGGCCGUCUGGCCGAGGGCACGCCUGCCUGGGCGUCAUGCCUUACGUUCGCUCCGUUCA